rnacentral:rRNA from 1 species
AACGAACGCUGGCGGCAUGCCUAACACAUGCAAGUCGAACGAAACCUUCGGGUCUAGUGGCGCACGGGUGCGUAACGCGUGGGAACCUGCCCUUAGGUUCGGAAUAACUCCCCGAAAGGGGUGCUAAUACCGGAUAAUGUCUUCGGACCAAAGAUUUAUCGCCUUUGGAUGGGCCCGCGUUGGAUUAGCUAGUUGGUAGGGUAAAAGCCUACCAAGGCGACGAUACAUAGCUGGUCUGAGAGGAUGAUCAGCCACACUGGGACUGAGACACGGCCCAGACUCCUACGGGAGGCAGCAGUGGGGAAUAUUGGAAAAUGGGCGAAAGCAUGAUCCAGCAAGGACGCGUGAGUGAUGAAGGCCUUAGGGUUGUAAAGCUAUUUUACCCGGGAUGAUAAUGACAGUACCGGGAGAAUAAGCUCCGGCUAACUCCGUG